CAAUAGCGUAUAUUAAAGUUGUUGCAGUUAAAAAGCUCGUAGUUGAAUUUCGGGUCCCCGCGCUCGGCGCUUCAUUGUGCCGUCGUGGUGUCCCUCCUCGCCGUAAGGCGUCCUUUACUGUGGAAAAAUUAGAGUGUUCAAAGCAGGCAAUCGCUUGAAUACAUUAGCAUGGAAUAAUAAGAUAGGAUCUUGUCUAUUUUGUUGGUUGCGGACAACGAUAAUGAUUAAUAGGGAUAGUUGGGGGUGUCCGUAUUGAGCUGUCAGAGGUGAAAUUCUUGGAUUUGCUCAAGACGAACUACUGCGAAAGCAUUCACCAAGGAUGUUUUCAUUAA
rnacentral:rRNA from 1 species